GAUAUGAAGACAGCUGUGAGGGAGAGCAGAGAGCAUCCUGGACUGGGAACCAGGAGACCUGGGUUUGAUUCCCAACUUCCUCUCAAAGCUAUAACAAAAAAGAAUAACUAGCAUUUUAAUAGUACUUCAAGGUCUGUAAAAUGCUUUAUAAAUAUUCUCUCCUUUAUCCUCACAGCAACCUUGGGAGGUAUUUAUUGUUGUUCAGUCAUUAUCAGUCUUGUCUGACUCUUCAUGACCCAUUUGGGCUUUUCUUGGCAGAGGUACUGGAGUGGUUUGCCAUUUCUUUCUUUGGCUCAUUUGACAGUUGAGGAAACUGAGGCAAACAGGGUUAAGUGACUCGCUUAGGGUCACACAGCUAUUAAGUGUCUAACUAACGGGAUUUGAACUCAGGAAGAUGAGUCUCUCCUGAUUCCAGGCCUGCUGCUUUAUCCACUGAGUCAUCUCGCUGCCCUCGGAGAAACAAACCCAGUGGCUUUUGGAAGAAGAAGCACCUACCCUCUCUGUGGAGUUCAGAGCCAGGAUUGGAGGAAGCCUUGCCUUCAUCUCUUGACUGGGCAGCUGCUAGACUACUCCAGCUCAUAGCUUUUUGGGACCAGAACUUUGUCUGCUAGGCUGACACAUAGAGGUAGAGCUUAGACCUCUGCUGUUUCAACUUGAUUGACUUCAAUAAGCAUCCAUUAAGCUUCUGUUGCCUGCCAAAUACUAGGCACCAGGGACCAGGAAUCUUUACCUGUUGGAUGAGGAAAAUCUUUCUCCCAACGCAGGUUGACACUCAAUCUGCAACUUAUAGCCUUAGGGCUGAGAUUUUUUCUCCUCAGAAGGAUCUGUGGACAGAUUUCAAGGCAUCUGUGAACUUGGAUGCUGGGAGCAUCUACUCUACAUGCAGACAUAUCCUAAGGACUGUGAGAGAGACAGAGAAAGAGCAGAAGCCCAGGCCUGUCUUCAGAGAGCUCAGUCUGGGGGAGGCCAAAGAAGUGAAUCUAAAGUCCUCCAAACCCUUCGAUACUCAUAAGGUCCUCCAUUGGCCAAAGGAGGGGAGGCCAGAUUCCAUUCAAUUAUACAAACAUUUAUUGAGGAACUACUAAAUGUAGAGCACUCUGCUUUGGAUGGAGGAAGGAUCCAAACUUCACCAAAGACGGGAUACUUACCCUUGUAGGGAUUAUACUCUAGGAGAUGGAGAAGACAGAAAUGCUGAAAAUGGUAUACAUAAUGUUCUAUUGCAAACCAUUAAAGAAAUACAAACAACGUGCUAUGUAAGGAUCAAGAGGGAGUUGUUACUGAUGGGGGCUCAAGGAAAGCUUCUUGGAAGCCAUGGUGUUAGAGUUGGGUUUUAAAGAGUGGGCAAGAGUUUCACAGACCACAUGAGAGUAGGAAGGUGUUCUUUCCAGGCAUAAACUAUAAACAUUCUGGGG
rnacentral:lncRNA from 1 species